GCCUUCGUGGUGUAAUGGUCAGCACACUGAGCCGGUAUUUUCAGAGGUCAGCACACUGAGCCGGUAUUUCAGAGGUUCGAUUCCCGGCGAAGGCG
rnacentral:tRNA from 1 species